GGUUAAUAUGAUUCUUGACAAUUUACCGGUGAUGAGGUAUACACAGCAGAAUGGCAUGACUAUACAGUGGACCGGGUUCCCGGUUGGGUAUACUCCCAAUGGAGCCAACGAUGACUACAUCAUCAACCACCUUAAGUUCAAGAUCCUUGUCCAUGAGUAUGAGGGCAGGGGUGUGCAGAUUAUCGGUACCGGAGAGGAGGGCAUGGGGGUGAUAUCGGAAACUGAUAAGA
rnacentral:misc_RNA from 1 species